GACGUAGGGGUCCAAGCGUUGUCCGGAUUUACUGGGCGUAAAGGAGCGCGUAGGCGGUCUUGUAAGUGUGAAGUCGAAUCUCCAGGGCUCAACCCGGAAACUGCUUUACAUACUGCAAGAUAGAGUGAUGAAGACGGUUUGUGGAAUUCCUGGUGUAACGGUGAAAUGUGUUGAUAUCAGGAGGAACACCCAUGGCGAAGGCAGCAACUGGUCAUCAACUGAACGCUGAGGCGCGAAAAGCGUGGGGUAGCAAACAGGA
rnacentral:rRNA from 1 species